UAAAGGAACCUUUUGUUAGUCAUAGAACCACUAAUGAAUAAGGGGUGGGCAAGUUCUGGUGUCAGCCGCCGCGGUAAAACCAGCACCUCAAGUGGUCAGGAUGAUUAUUGGGCCUAAAGCAUCCGUAGCCGGCUUUGUUAGUUUUCGGUUAAAUCCAUACGCUCAACGUAUGGGCUGCCGGGAAUACUGCAAGGCUAGGGAGUGGGAGAGGUAGACGGUACUCGGUAGGAAGGGGUAAAAUCCUUUGAUCUAUUGAUGACCACCUGUGGCGAAGGCGGUCUACCAGAACACGUCCGACGGUGAGGGAUGAAAGCUGGGGGAGCAAACCGGAUUAGAUACCCGGGUAGUCCCAGCUGUAAACUAUGCAAACUCGGUGAUGCAUUGGCUUGAUGCCAAUGCAGUGCCGCAGGGAAGCCGUUAAGUUUGCCGCCUGGAAGUACGUCGCAAGAC
rnacentral:rRNA from 1 species